rnacentral:rRNA from 1 species
AUUGAACGCUGGCGGCAGGCCUAACACAUGCAAGUCGAACGAGUGGCGGACGGGUGAGUAAUUUCUGGGAAACUGCCCGAUGGAGGGGGAUAACUACUGGAAACGGUAGCUAAUACCGCAUACCCUUGGAUGUGCCCAGAUGGGAUUAGCUAGUAGGUGGGGUAAAGGCUCACCUAGGCGACGAUCCCUAGCUGGUCUGAGAGGAUGACCAGCCAAACUGUAACGGAGACCCGGUCCAGACACCUACGGGAGGCAGAAGUGGUGAAUAUUGCGCAAGGGGCGCAAGCCUGAUGCAGCCAUGCCGCGUGUAUGAAGAAGGCCUUCGGGUUGUAAAGUACUUUCAGCGGGGAGGCGUUACCCGCAGAAGAAGCACCGGCUAACUCCGUGCCAGCCGCCGCGGUAAUUC